rnacentral:rRNA from 1 species
AUUGAACGCUGGCGGCAGGCCUAACACAUGCAAGUCGAACGAGUGGCGGAGGGGUGAGUAAUGUGUGGGAAACUGCCUGAUGGAGGGGGAUAAAGACGGGAAACGGUAGCUAAUACCGCACACCAUCAGAUGUGCCCAGAUGGGGUUAGCGUGUUGGUGGGGUAACGGCUCACCAAGGCGACGAUCCCUAGCUGGUCUGAGAGGAUGGGCAGCCACACUGGAACUGAGACACGGUCCAGACUCCUACGGGAGGCAGCAGUGGGGAAUAUUGCACAAUGGGCGAAAGCCUGAUGCAGCCAUGCCGCGUGUGUGAAGAAGGCCUUCGGGUUGUAAAGUACUUUCAGCGGGGAGGCGUUACCCGCAGAAGAAGCACCGGCUAACUCCGUGCCAGCAGCCGCGGUAAUUC